ACGCUCAGGUAACGGAGGUGUCCGAGCAACCAGUCCGGGGAAACUCAGCCCCGCCCCGCGAACCGCUCCGGCGGGUCGGGCGCCGCGGCGCCGCGGGGGGCUCUCGCGGGCCCCUCGCGGCGAUUCAGCGGGUCAAGCCCGGCCGUCUUGCCGUGCGCGCGCGGGCCYGAAGGUCCCGCGCGUGAGUCGUUCGCCCGGGCGGGGUGCACUUUUCCUUCGACAUAGUGCGUCGCGAUCCGUUGGUCGGCGGCCUUAGGGCCCGGUCGUCUCCUCGCCCGGCCGCGACGUCCCGUGGGGCGGUAAACGGUCGGGCGAGAGCGACCGGUGUGCGCGUUCAAUGAGCCGGCAGCUGUGAGGCGCCGGCGCGCGCGUCCCGGCCCGCCGUGUAAGACCGGUUCCGUAGGGGUUCCGGCAAUAACGACGGUCAUAGAAUUCGCGGAAGACGAACUGACCGUCCGCCCCCUUCACGGGGGGCGGGCGGCGGGUCCCUCCGGAUCUGAGCGUUGCUCAUCAUCGAAACCUGGCCGCGGAGGCGACGAUCCGGUAGGCGCCGCCUUAGCCGGCGACGCUCCGGGGAACGUCCCUCCGACCUGAACAGGCGUGGAUGGAGAGCGGAAGCUCACCGCCGCCACGGCCGGGGAGGUGACAGGAGGGGGGGUGUAGUAUCCCACGAGAGAUCCAGCGGGUCCAACCGGCGGCGUAAGUCUCGGACUAACUUUCCGACCCGUCUUGAAACACGGACCAAGAGUCUAACAUGUGCGCGAGUCAAUGGGACGUCCUAAUCCCAGAGGCGCAAUGAAAGUGAAAGGCGGCGGCGCUUCGGGGGGGCACACCCCCUCCGACGCCGUUCCAACCGCCGAGGGAAGAUGGCUCGGGGGGCGCGCGAGGAUACGCGGMUACGGUCGCCGGCCCGCGCGUYRACUYUGUGUGACCCGGCCCGCAUUCCCGGGCGCG
rnacentral:rRNA from 1 species